UACAGAGGGGGCAAGCGUUAUUCGGAAUUAUUGGGCGUAAAGAGCGCGUAGGCGGUCCGGUAAGUCGGUUGUGAAAGUCGGGGGGCUCAACCCUCGGAUGCCGAUCGAUACUGUCGGGCUAGAGUCCGGAAGAGGCGAGUGGAAUUCCUGGUGUAGCGGUGAAAUGCGCAGAUAUCAGGAGGAACACCAAUGGCGAAGGCAGCUCGCUGGGACGGUACUGACGCUGAGACGCGAAAGCGUGGGGAGCGAACAGG
rnacentral:rRNA from 1 species